rnacentral:rRNA from 1 species
UACGGAAGGCAGCAGUGGGGAAUAUUGCACAAUGGGCGAAAGCCUGAUGCAGCUAUGCCGCGUGUAUGAAGAAGGCCUUAGGGUUGUAAAGUACUUUCAUCGGGGAGGAAAAACAAAACUAAUAAUUUUAUUUCUUGACGUUACCCGAAAAAGAAGCACCGGCUAACUCCGUGCCAGCAGCCGCGGUAAUACGGAGGGUGCUAGCGUUAAUCAGAAUUACUGGGCGUAAAGAGCACGUAGGUGGUUUUUUUAAGUCAGAUGUGAAAUCCCCGGGCUUAACCUGGAACUGCAUUUUGAAACUGAAAUACUAGAGUAUCGUAGAGGGAGGUAGAAUUCUAGGUGUAGCGGUGAAAUGCGUAGAUAUCUGGAGGAAUACCUGUGGCGAAAGCGGCCUCCUAAACGAAUACUGACACUGAGGUGCGAAAGCGUGGGGAGCAAACAGGGAUUAGAUACC